ensembl:lncRNA
AUGAACAAUAUAAUAAAAUCAAAAAAGCUGUAUGAAUUAUAUUCGAAACGCUAUAUUUGUAAUUACUCUAAAAACAGAAAUUUAAAAAAUAAAUAUAAAUAUCUAAAUGGUCAUAACAAUAAUUUAACAUUUAGUUCUACUAACACAACGAUAAACAAUAACGGCAAUAAACUAACAAAUUUUAGUACCAAUAAAUUUCGGAGUGAAAUAAAAUGGCCAUUUCAAUUUUAUGUACAAAACCAUAUAGUUUUAAAAAAAAUUAUGAACAGUAAUGUGAAAAAACUAAGUGCAAGGCAAUUUUCAAGAUAUUCCCACAAAGAAUCAUCAUCGUCAAGGAAUAUUAAAAAUGAAGAUAAAAAAAAUAUAAAAAAGAAAUUGGAAUUGUUUGUACGUUUACCAUAUAUGGAAAUAAAAAAUAAAUUUAACAACAUAAGUCUUUUAUGGUUGAAAGAUAAUUAUUAUAAAAAUAAAAAAUGGCUAAUCACUUUUUUGAAUAAUGUUUAUUAUGAAAUAUGCAUAAAAAAAUAUAGACAAUUAAAAAAAACAGUACCAAAUAAUUUUUUUUUUAAUUAUAACAAAAAUAAUAAUGUAAAAAUAUUUUAUCCGUUUUUUUCAGUAUUAUUUAUAAAAAACUUUUUUAAAAAUGAUAAAUUAAUAACUCGUUUUUUAAAUUAUUUAUCAAUAAAUAAAAAAUUGUUCUUAAAUAAUUUUUCUAGUUUUUAUCAACAAAAUAUAAGAAGCGGCUAUUAUAAAAAAUUAUUUUUAUUUCAUUAUAAAAAAACUCCAGCUACAUAUACUCUUAUUUUAUUACACUUAUUUAUUUAUUUAUUAUGGUUCAAAGCGAAACCUGUACAGUAUAACUACAAUGAAUAUUUUUUAACAAAUAACAUGUUCAUAGAUAGAAACAGACAAAAAAACAACAAUUUUCUAUUAACAACUGAUUUUAUGUAUAAUCAUUUUUGUUGUAGUUUACGAAGUUUAAAAGAAAAAAGGUUUUAUACAAUUUUAACAAAUAUAAUUAGCCAUAAUACUAUACAAUCUUUUUUAUUAAAUACUAUUGCUUUAUACUAUAUAGGGAAAGGUUUAGAAUGUAUUAUAAAUACUAAAAAUUUUUUAAUUACAUAUAUAUUGAGUGGAGUUUUAUCAUCCUAUAUACAAAUAUUAUAUCAUAAAAACACAUAUAAUAAUUAUAAUUAUGUUUAUGUGUUAGGUGCCAGUGGAAGUAUAAGUUCUAUUCUAGCUACAUACACAUUUAUCUUUCCGAAACAAAAUAUUUACCUAUAUGGAAUCAUUGGUUUGCCUAUGGCUUUAUUUUCUUCUUUAUACUUUUUGAACGAAUUUUACUGUGUUAUAACGAAUAAAAACGACAAUACAGGACAUGUCGCACAUUUAUGUGGUAUGUGUUUAGGAAUCUUGUACUAUUUAUUUUAUGUUAAAGGAAGAAUUGUUACAUAAAAACAUGCAUACAAAAGUAAAUGAUAAAAAGGCAAAGGAUAAAACCUGCGCAAAGAAGGUAAAACACGAAGAAUUAGGUGAAGCUAAUGAGGAAACCGAAAUUGUAGAAGAGGAGCAAGUGAGUAAUUCCAGUACAAAUAAAAAUGAAAAAAAAAACA